AGAUCAUGUGCCCUAGCAACAAUGGAACUUUAUUAUUUAGAAGUCACCCCUUCUCCUAGGAAAGGAAAAAGAUAUAUCACCCAUGCUCAAAGAAAAUGAGCCAAACUUGAGUUUAGGAGAUGGCAGCCACACACAGCAGGCUGUCUUGUAAGGGGCACAGCAGCAACCCCAGGCCACAGAGGGCAGAGCCUCCAGGACCCAUCACUGGAGAUGACUGCCUGGGCAGACUCACUUCACCGUUAGAGAAGUGUGGCCUUCCCUGGUGGCUCUAGGUUCACAGUACACAGAAUUACCUGCUUUGAGGCAACGCUUCUCUUACCAAGUAGUGACUUAAGAAACAAGAUGUAUGUAAUACUAGUGCCUGGGAAGGAAAAACCACCAAGUAUGGAAGAGAUCAGUUAUGACAGCAGACAGCCUCUUUCACAAAGUACACUGAAGGAUUCCCGGGUCACUGCCUAGGAUGGCUCCUCCGGCUGCAUUCCAAGCCUUUUAUUCUACUGUUCCAUCGUAUUAUCAGUUCAACUGCAGCUGCCCUCAGCAGCACUGAGAGCUGAC
rnacentral:lncRNA from 1 species